rnacentral:rRNA from 1 species
AUUGAACGCUGGCGGAAUGCUUUACACAUGCAAGUCGAACGGCAGCACGGGGGCAACCCUGGUGGCGAGUGGCGAACGGGUGAGUAAUACAUCGGAACGUGCCCAGUCGUGGGGGAUGACGUAGCGAAAGGUACGCUAAUACCGCAUACGAUCUACGGAUGAAAGCGGGGGACCGUAAGGCCUCGCGCGAUUGGAGCGGCCGAUGUCAGAUUAGGUAGUUGGUGAGGUAAAGGCUCACCAAGCCGACGAUCUGUAGCUGGUCUGAGAGGACGACCAGCCACACUGGGACUGAGACACGGCCCAGACUCCUACGGGAGGCAGCAGUGGGGAAUUUUGGACAAUGGGCGCAAGCCUGAUCCAGCCAUUCCGCGUGCAGGACGAAGGCCUUCGGGUUGUAAACUGCUUUUGUACGGAACGAAAAGGCUCUGGUUAAUACCUGGGGCUCAUGACGGUACCGUAAGAAUAAGCACCGGCUAACUACGUGCCAGCAGCCGCAGUAA